ACCCUCGCCACGGUGCUGGAGCAGGAAACUGCCCUUAAUCUAUCGUUAAGAUAUUUUGUCACACCUAAAGCGAGGGUUU
rnacentral:sRNA from 1 species